AUGAACGCUAGCUACAGGCUUAACACAUGCAAGUCGAGGGGCAGCAUGGUCUUAGCUUGCUAAGGCCGAUGGCGACCGGCGCACGGGUGAGUAACACGUAUCCAACCUGCCGUCUACUCUUGGACAGCCUUCUGAAAGGAAGAUUAAUACAAGAUGGCAUCAUGAGUUCACAUGUUCACAUGAUUAAAGGUAUUCCGGUAGACGAUGGGGAUGCGUUCCAUUAGAUAGUAGGCGGGGUAACGGCCCACCUAGUCUUCGAUGGAUAGGGGUUCUGAGAGGAAGGUCCCCCACAUUGGAACUGAGACACGGUCCAAACUCCUACGGGAGGCAGCAGUGAGGAAUAUUGGUCAAUGGGCGCAGGCCUGAACCAGCCAAGUAGCGUGAAGGAUGACUGCCCUAUGGGUUGUAGACUUCUUUUAUAAAGGAAUAAAGUCGGGUAUGUAUACCCGUUUGCAUGUACUUUAUGAAUAAGGAUCGGCUAACUCCGUG
rnacentral:rRNA from 1 species